CGGAGGCGGCUCCUUUCCCGGCAGCGGCGGCGGUCGUGCGGGGAACUUCGCCCACUCUCGGCACUUCGGCGGCUCUGGGGGCGAAGCGAUCCGUCCCGGUGUCCCGCAAAGCAGCGGAGAGCACUGUCAGACCAAGCCGGGGGGCUGGAGGGGGGAGAGCGGCAGCCUCGCCGGCUGCUUGGGCACCCGCUGCCUUCGGCCAGGCUAGGGAGACCGAACUGGCAAACCAUCCAGAACCGGGGUGGGCUGAGUGGGGGUUCGGUACGCACAGCCCACUGAGGGAAAGUGAGCAUGUGUCUGCAUGGGGCUGAGGUGCCCUUGGGGGUUAAAGCACAACGUGGGGUCUGAAGGGUUUGAGGGCGUAUCAUCUCACCCUGCUGUGCCUGGAAGUACUUUGAUAACAGCAGUGACCAAGUGCCUGGGCUGGCUGAUGGCCAGGACAUCUGUGUUGCUCUGCUGGACAGGCUGAAUCUCCAGUAUCAACUUCAGUCCAAGGGACUGUGACCUGUGGAUAAGUCCAUGCAGAAGCAGGACACCCUGAAGUGUCUGUAGCUGUAGAUAAAUCCACACCAGAACAGAUACACUUCAAAGCAUCUGUCGCCAUGGAUAAAUCCAACUGCAGGAGAAGCAAGGGCAGGAAUACACUGCAUGUCCAAAGGGAGUGGAGGCAGAGAUUGUAAUGGAUAUAACUUUAAAUUGUUGUUUCAUGUUUCAAACUGCAUGUUCUAGGAAAUGCUACAGCAGGAACCACCACCAGUGGAGGACAAGCUUUAAAAGAAGCAGUGCAAGUGCAUCAGUGACCCAGUCUGAGCUGGCUUUCAUGCCAGUAACUCCACAGAACAUGUCACGUCUCCAGCCCUCAAUGGCCACCAUAACAGAUAGAACCCAAAUCAGGGACUAAUGAACUCAACAAAUAUUUCAUGGACAUUUAAUGGACAUUUUACAAUGCUGGUCCAUAGACUAAGGGAAUUAUAUCUAUGUAUUUAUCAAAGGAUGGGAAAGGGGAAAAUUAUGGCUAAUUAUGAUCUCCUGGAUAGUGUGAGACCUUAGUAUGAUGUAAAUGGUAUGGAAUAAAGUGUGGUGAUUGUACUGGUUUUGUCUGGGAUAGAGUUAAUUUUUGUCAUAGUAUCUUGUCUGGUGCUGUGUUUUGGAUUUGUGAUGAAACCAUUGUUGAUCAAACACUGAUGAUUAUGCUCCCUGGUGUGAUACUGGGGGCAACCACACUGUAAGGAAGGAGCAAGGAUGAGCACACUCACCAUUGGCUAGGUUAUUUUGCUUAUAGGUGCACAAGUUACAAGUUAAUGAAUUGCAAGCUCUGAAUUAAGAGACCUUGAGAGUUAGAAACCUCAUGACUUAAGUGAUAAAUUAGUGAAUUCAUGUGCUAGACUAGCCUGUACAAAGGGGAUUGAGCCCUUUUUGUUUUCUUUCCUAGUGAGUUAAUAAAAUAAAGUUUAAUCUACAGAA